rnacentral:rRNA from 1 species
GUGGGUAAUAUUGCACAAUGGGGGAAACCCUGAUGCAGCGACGCCGCGUGAAGGAAGAAGUAUCUCGGUAUGUAAACUUCUAUCAGCAGGGAAGAAAAUGACGGUACCUGACUAAGAAGCCCCGGCUAACUACGUGCCAACAGCCGCGGUAAUACGUAGAGGGCAAGCGUUAUCCGGAUUUACUGGGUGUAAAGGGAGCGUAGACGGAAGAGCAAGUCUGAUUUGAAAGGCUGGGGCUUAACCCCAGGACUGCAUUGGAAACUGUUGUUCUAGAGUGCCGGAGAGGUAAGCGGAAUUCCUAGUGUAGCGGUGAAAUGAGUAGAUAUUAGGAGGAACACCAGUGGCGAAGGCGGCUUACUGGACGGUAACUGACGUUGAGGCUCGAAAGCGUGGGGAGCAAACAGG